AGGUCACUGUUACUUGUUCGUCAUCUGGGAUCCCCACUGCUUCUGCAAAGGCUCAAGGUUUCAUUGACAAGAACCCAUUGUUUCCCAGGAGGGGCGCACGCUACCCACUGUCAGAGCACUCGUUGCCCCUCCGCAGAAAAAAAAGGGCCAGCGGUGCAGAAUGGACGCCGCCAGGAAACGUCACAGAGGGAACGCGUCAGAAGCGGCAGCCAGAGGUGAUGAAGAUGACUCGGCCGCGAUCCCCGGACGUGAGGCACGGCACCAAGUGCACAGCAGCAAAAGCGCCAUCCCUUUCACGUCUACUCCCGAGGAAGCGUGUGGGGAUGAAAGCGACUACGCUGUCCUGGUGAAACGGAGCACGGCACUGUUGGCAAAGCUCGGCCAGCGCAAUGUACUCGACAACUGCGCAGCCCAAGAAACCAGCAGCACGCAAAAGGAGGCAACACAACCAAUGACACUUCCGUGUAGGUUUGAGAAUCACAAGUUCAGCUUGUACGGUGUUUCUUGCUCCGCUGGCUCUCUUGUUUUACCCUUUGCCACGGCUGCGUGCAUACAGCCCACAGAGCUGGCUCAUCGCUCCACCAAGUGCACACAAACGGAGUCAUCGACCACUCUAGAAGCCCGCAAGAAGCUGCUAGCUACGGAGUUGAGUGAGCUCUACACACUGUUGCAUGUCUUUUUCUCGUGAUACGUUCGCGUGCUCGCGAGUUGCUUUUUUCCCCUUGCUCUUUUCUUUUCUUCACGGACAUGCGCGCUGAUGGAAGGUUCUGCUGUACUGCGAGCACCACUCUCUCUGCUCAUUGAUUUCACUGCUGCUGCUUACGGCUCAGACACUGCAUCGAUUCCUCGAACUCACAGUUAGCGAUUCAAGCCGUGCCUGCGUGCAUCCUCGCACGGCACCUGGCGUUGUUGUGCUCCUUCACCUCGGGACGCUUUCUCGAGAUGUCAGGAAUGUUCUUUCCAGCACACGUUAACUGGUGGUGGCUUUAUAAUAAUAUAUGUAUAUAUAUAUUUUGCUAGCAAGUACCGCAGAUCUUACGCCCGCGCCAUUGGUUCUCCUUGGACCUCUGCUCAUGCUUUUCCUCUCUCGUCCCUGUCUCUUUGCCUUCUGCAUCGCUGUCGUUUUUCCGCCAGGCUCUCUCUUCUGCGCGAUGCCUUCGCCCUACUCAGUAGUCGUUUGUCUUCCGCUACCCUGUCGCAUUUUUUUUUCUUUGAAAGCUUACGACAGGAAUGAAAGAGGGCGGGAUGAUCUAAGUAAUAAAAAAGACGAUAGGAUGAUGAGGAGUGAGUCAAGGCACUUUCCACGAUUCCAAUGACAUGCUUCACCACACACGUAUCUUUUCUUCAUUUUGUUCUUCUGCUCAUUUCAGAUCUCGAGGAAUGGAGUCAUGACAAGCGUUUGCUUUUUCCCUCCACCCGCCCUCCUCUUGAUUACUCACCAUGACAGGGGGAUCCUUGGGUGACGGAAAAGGGGGAUACGUAAGUCUACCUAUUCGUGGGUAGGGUUACCCGAUGGGGACCUGAAAAUAACAGAAUUCUCACUGAUAGCUGUGCCAGCUCCAGAGGUAUCGAGGUCGCGAGCAAAGGGAUACCAAAUCGGUGUACUCGUCCACGGCAAUGGGAAACUCACCAACCAGGAAGAGUUGGAAACACAUGGAUCGCAAUGCAUCAUGCCUAUCUUGUGACAUCGUUCUCUCUCUCCUUUUAUUCUUCUCUCAG
rnacentral:misc_RNA from 1 species